rnacentral:lncRNA from 1 species
AGGUUUUAUGUGUGAUGUUUUAUGACCUCGCACACUGCAGGGUCCUUGCCCAGAUGAGGUACCAAAGAGGAGCUGGCCCAGAUGUGAAUCGUUUAUUUUAUGGGUCUAGACCUUGGUCCGAAGUCUGCGCAUACUGCUUCUCUCGCCUCCUGUGGCUUAGAACAGCCUUUAAAACUACUACAGGCAAGAUGCCCAAGCAUCAUUCGGCUCAAACUGGCAGGAAGUUGCUAGUUGAAAGGGAAAAAUAAUCUCACUUGAGUGUAGGGGCAUGUAGAAGAGACCACUUAUGGAAAGCUGCUGGCAAGCUGUUGGUCACUCGACAUCUUUUAAAAAAUUUAUUUUUAAAGAGUGAGUGAAUGUGUGUGUGUGUGUGCGCGCGCGCGCGCAUGAAUGCAGGUACCCAUGGAGGCCCUAAGAAGGCAUCAGAUCCCCUCUGUGGGUAUGAAGAACUGAAUCAGGGUCCAGUGCAAGAGCAUCAUGUGCGCUUAACUACUGAAUCACGUCUCCAGCCUUGCUUAGUUAGCAUCUAUUAAAUAAGAAAGUGCUGUAGGUUUGAAACAAGGGCAGCUGCCCCUGAGGCUCAUUUGUGGUCAUAGUCCCUUUUGUCUACCUUUCAGCUGUUUCUCCUACUAUUCCCUUCUGUGUCCUCUCUUCCUCUUCCUUCUGUGUCCUCUCUUCCUCUUCCUUCUGUGUCCCCCCCCCCUCUGUCUGUUUUUCACCAACUUUUCGAGAAAUGGAAUGUGAGAAAUAAAAAGCUUUAGUUUUGUUUUGUUUUGUUUUGUUUUGUUUUGUUCCAUGACUUAACAUGUCUGUCUCCUGCCCUACUGUGUGGCUGGGUGUAGCUCCGCAGGUGGCAACAUAGCCCUUGCUGCUGCUUUCCAGUGGCAGACUUAAGAUUCCGAUGCCGUUUCUGCCCCAUGCCUUUGUACAAGACAAGGACUCUCCCUUCCCUGGUUGACAUCCCCAGUCUCCUUUCUCUUGGUGGCCUGACCUGAGUGUGUCCUGUCCUUUGCUGUGGCACCUAUUCUGGGUCCUCAUGGGAAACUCCUUAAAUCCUCUUACAAUUUCUUUCUUUCUGAGCCCCUGGCUGCCCCAGUAUGGGGCCUCCCUGGCUUGUCUUCUAACGUUUUUUUGUCUCUUAAAUCCCUCACCUCUGUCUGUAUCUGCUUCUGAGGGGAUUUGCUCCAUCUUCUCUUUCCAAGAAUGUUUUAUUUUUAGCUUCUAAGACUUCUUCCUUGUUCUCUGAGUUUUGUUGUGUAGCCUCCUGUUCUUGGUUCAGGAGUGUGAGUCUUCUUUGUGGCUGACGCAGCUGUUUGGGGGGAGGGGGGACAUUGUCUGCCCUCAGAUGUGCCUUUGGGUCCUCUAAGGUCCAUUUUUCUCGGUUGAGCUGGGUCGCUGUCUCUCACAUUGUGCACAGAUACCUGCAUCUACUCAUGUUUCAGGGCGAUACACCCAGGAGCUGGCAGGAUGUUCUGACAACCAUCUGGUAAGGUUCUGUCCAGUGUCGCCCAGUGAGCUGGCUUAGCUCUGAGAGGCUGCCAUGUCAGUAGUUAAAUGUUUCUUCUGGGGCUUAUUCCAUUUCCUUACAGAGCUUCCUGCCACUCCUCUGCCUGGAAAAGAGGGAUACACACAGGGCUGUUAGCCCAUGUAGUACACUUGUGCAAUACUAGUAGUGGUCCCCCUCUGGGCAGAAGCCACCCACCAUCCAUAUUUGGUUUAGUUGGCAGAGGACAGCUGUUUUCUCUAUCUCUGAGCAGACACAGCCCUCAGGUAAGACAAAGCAUGGGUUUUAACCCCCACAUGCUCCCUUGGCCAGGUGCCUUAGUGUCAAGCACAAACCAUAGGAUGGGACCCAGAUACCCCUGAGUUCUGUGUUCUGGCCUUGAAGCAGGCAGUCUCAGGAAUCACUGUGUAACCACUUGAAGCUGCUCCUGCCUUGCUUCUGUCCCUGGGCUGUGCCCUGCGAGUCCUCUAUGAAUAGGAGGCAAGACAGUCAUCUGGCUGCAAUGAGAGGGCAGGAGGCCCAAGAAUCAGCGCUGUAUCUCACCUUGCAGUCACCAUCCCAACCCACAAGCUCAUCUUGGGUGCCAAGCUGGGCAGCUCCUCAUUGCUGCCCCCUGCAGGCACAUGGUAGGGAGGACCCUUCCCUGCCUCUUUCUCAGUGGUCUUCUUCAGCUUUGAAUGGGUGGUGCCUGUGGCCUUUGGCUUAUCUUUUCCAGUCCGUGGCUCUGGAACUUUCUCUUCCUUUGCACUUCUUCCGACAGGGGAAGUAGGCAAGCACAGAUGCUCUGUACCCCAUCCUCUGUUUAGCUUUAUUACUUUUCAGUUUCAUUGUUUUGGGGGGGAGGGGUUGGAGGAGUGUGGUCUUACUAAAUAGUCCAGGCUGGCCUUGAACUCUUGAUCCUCUUUCCCCAUCUUCCCAAGUACGAGGUUACCCCGGUGCUUGGCUUUUGUGUGCCAUCUUGACCCAUAAAUGCCUUUGGGUUUUCUGGCUGGUGGGUUAGGUGGCUCGUGACCCCACUGACUUCACUGUGAACCUGUCUUGAAUGAAUCUGCUGAAGCUCUGAGACAUGAAGGGCCCUGGGAGCAUCGGGUGGCACAAGAACGCUGCGUUCACAGGUCACGGCUCAAGGUGUUCGCCUUUCUCCCUCCUUUCAAGUGUUUCCAGCUUCUCCCACAGAACACGUAGAUCUCCCAAAUCCUCGCCAGAUGUGGUCUGUGUGGUCACAUGGAUUUUAGCCCUGCUGAACCCACACCCCAGCCCUGACUCUCAUGUAGGGAACAGCUUAUCCACACUAGCAUUUGCCAGACAGCAGACAAGGUUCUCUACCAGCUGAUGUCUGGAGUUUGGGUAGAAUUUCCUCCUAAAAGCUGUGGCUUUUCCUAGCUGUUGGUGACAGGACCAGGGGACUACUGGUCAGGUGUGACUUUGGAGGAGGAAUGUGCUUCAACAGACUCUCUAACCCAGGCUGUGUUUCUCCACAGCUGGGCUCAGCUCAAAUCCAGCAGCCCACCUGCGCUGUAAGCCAUGCACCUAGAAGCCAAGGACUCUCUAAGUCCUAGUCUGUUUGGUGGCAUUGGGGGCCAUGUGAAGGUCCAGAGGUCCAGCACCAUCUUUAGAGAAGGUGUGGAGGACCAUGAGUCUUCAGCUGCAGUACCAGUCCAGACAAUUCAGUAAGAUGUU